rnacentral:rRNA from 1 species
UACGAAGGGGGCUAGCGUUGCUCGGAAUCACUGGGCGUAAAGGGUGCGUAGGCGGGUUUUUAAGUCAGAGGUGAAAUCCUGGAGCUCAACUCCAGAACUGCCUUUGAUACUGAGGAGCUCGAGUCCGGGGAGAGGUGAGUGGAAUUCCGAGUGUAGAGGUGAAAUUCGUAGAUAUUCGCAAGAACACCAGUGGCGAAGGCGGCUCACUGGCCCGAUACUGACGCUGAGGCACGAAAGCGUGGGGAGCAAACAGG